ACUGAGACACGGUCCAAACUCCUACGGGAGGCAGCAGUGAGGAAUAUUGGUCAAUGGACGUAAGUCUGAACCAGCCAAGUAGCGUGCAGGAUGACGGCCCUAUGGGUUGUAAACUGCUUUUAUGCGGGGGUAAAGUGAGUGACGUGUCAUUCAUUGCAAGUACCGCAAGAAUAAGGACCGGCUAAUUCCGUGCCAGCAGCCGCGGUAAUACGGAAGGUCCUGGUGUUAUCCGGAUUUAUUGGGUUUAAAGGGAGCGUAGGCCGUCAGGCAAGCGUGUUGUGAAAUGUCGUGGCUCAACCAUGGACUUGCAGCGCGAGCUGCCCGACUUGAGUGCGCGGAAAGCAGGCGGAAUUUGUGGUGUAGCGGUGAAAUGCUUAGAUAUCACGAAGAACCUCGAUUGCGAAGGCAGCCUGCUGUAGCGCUACUGACGCUGAAGCUCGAAAGUGCGGGUAUCGAACAGGAUUAGAUACCCUGGUAGUCCGCACGGUAAACGAUGGAUGCCCGCUGUUCGGUCUACGGACCGAGCGGCUAAGUGAAAACGUUAAGCAUCCCACCUGGGGAGUACGCC
rnacentral:rRNA from 1 species